AUGGCGGAGAAGGUCUCGACGGCUCCGGCGGUGGUGGUCAUUCUUCCGGUGGCCGCUGACCGCAAUGCGACCCCGUUGGCAAGUUGGGCCCCAACCCCGAUGGCGAUUCGCACUCGACGACGGAUUGGGGAAAAGCUGUCCUGCCGCCACCCUCGCAGCAUGCGGAGGAGGCAGAGAAGGAUGCUGCGGACGCGGAGAAGGCGUCGGCGGUGGCUGAUUCGUUGGGGGAGGAAGUACCCCCCGGGCAUCCAUCUCCACCCAGGCCUGAGGAGCCAUAGCCAUUAUAUUUUCAGUUUCCUUCUAAAGAUGCUGCCAAAAAAUAUGCCCUUGUGA
rnacentral:rRNA from 1 species